GUGUUAGUCAUCCCUGGACUUCGCUAGUUCACACUCGGUGUUGUCACUACAUUCGCUGAUAGAUUAUUCCAUCCAUGAGCCCCAAACACCUACUCCAAAGAAGUGUUUACAAAUGCCCGGACCAGGUGAGGUGCAGCGAGGCCAGCAGUUUGUGCAGACCUGAAGCUCGUGACCACCACACCGCCACCGCCUCUCCUUAUAAUUUUUCAACUCCUGUACACCUCGUGAGGAUGUAUCAUUGUAAAGACGGGAAAGUAACACAUUUGUAUAUUCUAAACAAUGGACGGCUGAGUAUGUGACAAAAUGGUAUUGAACAUCCCACAGCAGGCAAAACAUACCACCCAUGACUAGGGUAGACUAUAAGGAUGGGGUUUCAUUCAAGUAUUAAAAUCUUCCCCCUUCCACAUUAUUUUCCUGCAACUGGUAAUGAUAAUGCUAAGCCACAAAAUUAUAUAUUUCUCCUACAAUGAGA